CCGAUAGAUCUCGGUCGCUGGAAAGCUCCGAGAUCGAAAGCUCCGGCGCCAGAGGAUGGGUCUGCGGCCUAUCAGGUAGUAGUGGGUGUAGCGUACCUGCCAGCCUACGACGGGUACGGGUUGUGAGAGCAAGAGCCCGGAGAUGGAUUCUGAGACACGAAUCCAGGCCCUACGGGGUGCAGCAGGCGCGAAAACUUUACAAUGCCGGCAACGGCGAUAAGGGGACCUCGAGUGCCAGGUUACAAAUCUGGCUGUCGUGAUGCCUAAAAAGCAUUGCAUAGCAAGGGCCGGGCAAGACCGGUGCCAGCCGCCGCGGUAACACCGGCGGCUCGAGUGGUAACCGUUAUUAUUGGGUCUAAAGGGUCUGUAGCCGGCCGGAUAAGUCUCUUGAGAAAUCUGGCAGCUUAACUGUCAGGCUUUCAGGAGAUACUGUCUGGCUCGAGGCCGGGAGAGGUGAGAGGUACUUCAGGGGUAGGGGUGAAAUCUUGUAAUCCUUGAAGGACCACCAGUGGCGAAGGCGUCUCACCAGAACGGACCUGACGGCAAGGGACGAAAGCUAGGGGCACGAACCGGAUUAGAUACCCGGGUAGUCCUAGCCGUAAACGAUACUCGCUAGGUGUCGGCCACGGUGCGACCGUUGUCGGUGCCGUAGGGAAGCCGUGAAGCGAGCCACCUGGGAAGUACGGCCGCAAGGCUGAAACUUAAAGGAAUUGGCGGGGGAGCAC
rnacentral:rRNA from 1 species